rnacentral:rRNA from 1 species
GAAUAUUGGACAAUGGGGGCAACCCUGAUCCAGCCAUGCCGCGUGAGUGAAGAAGGCCCUAGGGUUGUAAAGUCCUUUCACCGCUGAAGAUAAUGACGGUAAGCGGAGAAGAAGCCCCGGCUAAUUUCGUGCCAGCAGCCGCGGUAAUACGAAAGGGGCUAGCGUUGUUCGGAAUUACUGGGCGUAAAGCGCACGUAGGCGGCCGCGCAAGUUGGGGGUGAAAUCCCGGGGCUCAACUCCGGAAUUGCCUUCAAAACUGCGCAGCUCGAGGAUGUGAGAGGAUAGUGGAAUUCCGAGUGUAGAGGUGAAAUUCGUAGAUAUUCGGAAGAACACCAGUGGCGAAGGCGACUGUCUGGCACAUUUCUGACGCUGAGGUGCGAAAGCGUGGGGAGCAAACAGG